rnacentral:rRNA from 1 species
UACAGAGGUGGCAAGCGUUGUUCGGAAUUACUGGGCGUAAAGGGCGCGUAGGCGGUUCGUUAAGUCCUGUGUGAAAUCCCCCGGCUCAACUGGGGAACUGCACAGGAAACUAGCGGGCUUGAGUUCGGGAGAGGGAAGCGGAAUUCCGGGUGUAGCGGUGGAAAUGCGUAGAUAUCCGGAGGAACACCGGUGGCGAAGGCGGCUCCUGGAC